UACGGAGGGGGCGAGCGUUAAUCGGAAUUACUGAGCGUAAAGCGUGCGCAGGCGGUUCGUUGUGUCGGCGGUGAAAGCCCCGGGCUUAACCUGGGAAUGGCCGUUGAAACUGGCGAACUGGAGUGUGGCAGAGGGGGGUGGAAUUCCGCGUGUAGCAGUGAAAUGCGUAGAGAUGCGGAGGAACACCGAUGGCGAAGGCAGCCCCCUGGGCUAACACUGACGCUCAGGCACGAAAGCGUGGGGAGCAAACAGG
rnacentral:rRNA from 1 species